GACGAACGCUGGCGGCGUGCCUAAUACAUGCAAGUCGAACGAACCGCGACUAGGUGCUUGCACUUGGUCAAGGUGAGUGGCGAACGGGUGAGUAACACGUGGGUAACCUACCUCAUAGUGGGGGAUAACAGUCGGAAACGACUGCUAAUACCGCAUAGGACAUAGGAUCACAUGAUCCAGUGAGGAAAGGUGGCGCAAGCUAUCGCUAAGAGAUGGACCCGCGGUGCAUUAGCUAGUUGGUAGGGUAAAGGCCUACCAAGGCGAUGAUGCAUAGCCGACCUGAGAGGGUGAUCGGCCACAUUGGGACUGAGACACGGCCUAAACUCCUACGGGAGGCAGCAGUAGGGAAUCUUCCGCAAUGGACGCAAGUCUGACGGAGCAACGCCGCGUGAGUGAAGAAGGUCUUCGGAUCGUAAAGCUCUGUUGUUAGAGAAGAACAGCGCAUAGAGUAACUGUUAUGCGUGUGACGGUAUCUAACCAGAAAGCCACGGCUAACUACGUG
rnacentral:rRNA from 1 species